rnacentral:piRNA from 1 species
UAAGGGAGUGUCUCACAGGAUUGCACCUGU